AUGCAGUGGGCUAAGAGCUAUUCAAAGGGGGUACAGCCCCUUUAAAAAGGAUACAACCUCCAUCAGCGGAUAACCUCACCCCACCUCAACCCCCGUGGGCCUUAAAGCAGCCACCCCUAAAGAACGCGUCAAAGCUCCACAAACUGAAAAAAUCUAAAAACAAUGCAAAUCCCUAAACCCAUAACAGGCCAACCUACAACAGUAGAUGAAUCAAUGCUAAAACGAGUAACCAGGAUACCAAAUCCCCUAAAGCGCCAACUUAAGCACCAUUAACAGCACAGCUACAAUAUCAAACCCCCGACCAAACAUUGAACACGCCCUGUUAGACCAACCCUGGAGCGCGCACUAGGAUGAUUAAAAUCUACAGAAGGAACUCGGCAAACCCAAGACCCGACUGUUUACCAAAAACAUAGCCUUCAGCCAAACAAGUAUUGAAGGUGAUGCCUGCCCAGUGA
rnacentral:rRNA from 1 species